rnacentral:rRNA from 1 species
UAUUUAGUUAAUUAGUUACACUGUUUGUUUAAAAUAAAUCUUUAAAGAUCUUUUUAUUCAGUUGUUUAAAAUAAAUUAUUUUGUUUUAUUCAAAUAGACUUAGGGGUGAGAUCUCUAGGCUUUUUAUAUAAUACAAUUACUUAAUUUUAAGUAAUUAUAUUCUUUAUAAUAUUUUUCUUUUAAUUAUUAUAAAUAUUAAAAAAGCGCUCCAGAUAGAAUAACGCUCUAAACGGGGAAAACAUUAUGUUUUUAGUCUAUAUAUUAAUUGCUCAAUAAUAUGGGUAAACAGUGUAGCGUCAAUUUUAUUGAGUAAAAUUCUAGAUAGUGAUAAUAUGAUUAUGACAAAAAACUAUCUAUAAGUCUUGACCAAAAUACAUGCCAGCAGUCGCGGUAAGAUGUAAAAGACUAGUGUUAUUCAUCUUUAAUAGGUUUAAAGGGUACCUAGACGGUUUAUUAAGUCUUUAAUAGGAUACAAAUAAUCUAGAGUUAUAUGUAAGGAGGUGAGUAUUUAUGGAGUAGAGUUGAAAUUCGUUGAUACCAUAACGACUGGUAAAGGCGAAAGCAACCUUUUAUUUAAUGACUGACGUUGAGGAACGAAGGCUUGGGUAGCGAACAGGAUUAGAUACCCUAGUAGUCCUUGCAGAAAAUAAUGAAUGCCAUAGGUUAGAUGUUAAUUUAGUCUAUAAAUGAAAGUGUAAGCAUUUCACCUCAAGAGUAAUGUGGCAACGCAGGAACUGAAAUCAUUAGACCGUUUCUGAAACCAGUAGUGAAGUAUGUUAUUUAAUUCGUAUUUACGCGAAAAACCUUACCACAACUUGAAUAUUAUCAACUAUGAUAUUACAAGUGUUGCAUGGCUGUCUGCAGUUAAUGUCGUGAGAUUUGGAUAGCUCCUUGAAUUAACGGAAACCCUUACUUUAGUUGAAAAUAAUAAAGUAGUACAAAUAUCUAUUAUGGAAAAUUGUAUA